GACUGGGAACAUUCCCCAGAGAAGGGAAAGGCUACCCGCUCCAGUAUUCUGGCCUGGAGAAUUCCAUGAACUAUAAGUCCAUGGGGUUGCAAAGAGUCGGACAUGACUGAGUGACUUUCACUUCACUUGCAGAAUCUGAAGCAUCUCAAAACGACAAUCAAUUAGUAACCAGUUGCCUAUUUCACCUCAAUAUCAUUCCCUUCUAAGCCCAGUAGUUGAGUGUUGGCGCACUAGCUGCUGCUUGUUCAAUAGAAUCCAUCAAUAUUGAGGUAUUUCAGUUAUAACAAAUAUCUCACUAGGACUCGGAGUAAUGAAAACAGAUAAAACUCAUAUUCACUAGGCACUAAAUCCAUAAUCACAAUUAGUCAUACAAUACUUACACUAUUAUGAGAAAUACAGCAGAAAAGUUAGACCCCUAAGUCUCCUUUUCCUGCCAAGUGUGGGUUAUACCUACCUGUAAAUCUGACGCUGAUUGAAAGCUGAUGUAAUGGACCCUGACUGACACAGGUUCUGUGGCGACAGUGGCAUCUGUCUUGGCAGGUCACUUGCUGCCUGAAUCCUCAUUUUGCCAAACUGUACCUUCUCACUGGAUCUCAGGUGCUGAUGACUACAACCACGCUGGAGGAUCACUGUGCCCUUUUGGACUGAUCAUUUAACUGUAGACUACCUCCUUGGGCGCCAGCCCUGGAGCUGGAUUGGUUUCUCCCAGCUUUGUCCCUGCCCAGUCCUGACCUCAUUUCCCUCUGUACUUACCCAGUGUUGGAGUAUUAGCAUGCCUAAUAGAAGCAACACCUGCCCAGGUGACAACAGGAGUCUCCUGGUCUUAAGCCACAUGAGACAGACUUUUUAUCUGGACCAGCCCCUUAUGGUGACAGAAAGACCUCAGAAAAGUGUCCUGCUAAUCCAGUUCUCCAAGGGAUGCAAAAAAGUAUCUAAAAUAUUUAUAUAUGAACCACCAAGGACAUGCUUAUCAAUACAAGUGUACAAUAUAGUCUGCUAAUUUAAAUUUGUAGUUCUUUUAGAU
ensembl:lncRNA